GUGGUACGCGAGCUGGGUUUAGAACGUCGUGAGACAGUUCGGUCCCUAUCUGCCGUGGGCGCUGGAGAACUGAGGGGGGCUGCUCCUAGUACGAGAGGACCGGAGUGGACGCAUCACUGGUGUUCGGGUUGUCAUGCCAAUGGCACUGCCCGGUAGCUAAAUGCGGAAGAGAUAAGUGCUGAAAGCAUCUAAGCACGAAACUUGCCCCGAGAUGAGUUCUCCCUGACCCUUUAAGGGUCCUGAAGGAACGUUGAAGACGACGACGUUGAUAGGCCGGGUGUGUAAGCGCAGCGAUGCGUUGAGCUAACCGGUACUAAUGAACCGUGAGGCUUAACCUUACAACGCCGAAGCUGUU
rnacentral:rRNA from 1 species